rnacentral:rRNA from 1 species
GACGAACCGUGCGAACGUUGUUCGGAAUCACUGGGCUUAAAGGGCGCGUAGGCGGCUUGUCAAGUCAGGGGUGAAAUCUUUCGGCUCAACCGGAAAGUGCCCUUGAUACUGACAGGCUCGAGGGAGGUAGGGGCAUGCGGAAUUCCUGGUGUAGCGGUGAAAUGCGCAGAUAUCAGGAGGAAUACCGGAGGCGAAGGCGGCUCACUGGGGGCUUUUCUGACGCUGAGGAACGAAAGCCAGGGUAGCGAACGGG